rnacentral:sRNA from 1 species
UGAAGUCAUGAGCACAGAUGGAAACAAUAGACAGGUUUUAUUUACAGACUACAGUUCUAGCUUUGAUGCUCUGACCAUCACUUCAAAAUAUAUUUUUUACUCAGACAAGAAUAAAAGGAGUAUCAUGCGCCUGAACCGUGAUGGCACUAACCACAGAUCUGCUGGUCCACCUGACUUCCCUCAAGUUACUGGACUUUACGCUUUUGACAGCAUUCUAAAUUAAAUCUACAUAAGGCCUACUAAAUCUGUAUACUGCAACUUGUACUACAAGAAAGAUAUUGUCAGUUAAGUGUUACAUGAAAUAAAAUUGAUGAAACCAAUU